GUGAGGAAUAUUGGACAAUGGGCGCAAGCCUGAUCCAGCCAUGCCGCGUGCAGGAAGACGCAUCUAUGGUGUGUAAACUGCUUUUGUACGGGAAGAAACACUCCCUCGUGAGGGAGCUUGACGGUACCGUAAGAAUAAGGAUCGGCUAACUCCGUGCCAGCAGCCGCGGUAAUACGGAGGAUCCAAGCGUUAUCCGGAAUCAUUGGGUUUAAAGGGUCCGUAGGCGGUUUAAUAAGUCAGUGGUGAAAGCCCAUCGCUCAACGAUGGAACGGCCAUUGAUACUGUUAGACUUGAAUUACAAGGAAGUAACUAGAAUAUGUAGUGUAGCGGUGAAAUGCUUAGAUAUUACAUGGAAUACCAAUUGCGAAGGCAGGUUACUACUUGUGGAUUGACGCUGAUGGACGAAAGCGUGGGGAGCAAACAGGAUUAGAUACCCUAGUAGUCC
rnacentral:rRNA from 1 species